UAUGGCAUCAUAGAAUGAUCAAAUAUUUAUAGGAUUAAGAUGGGCAUGCGGAACAUUAGCUAGUUGGUAAGGUAACGGCUUACCAAGGCUACGAUGUUUAGGGGAUCUGAGAGGAUGACCCCCCACACUGGUACUGAGACACGGACCAGACUCCUACGGGAGGCAGCAGUAAGGAAUAUUGGUCAAUGGGCGCAAGCCUGAACCAGCCAUGCCGCGUGCAGGAAGACGGCCCUACGGGUUGUAAACUGCUUUUGUACCGGAAUAAACCUUUGUAUGUAUACGAAGCUGAAUGUACGGUAAGAAUAAGGAUCGGCUAACUCCGUGCCAGCAGCCGCGGUAAUACGGAGGAUCCAAGCGUUAUCCGGAUUUAUUGGGUUUAAAGGGUGCGUAGGUGGCCUAUUAAGUCAGGGGUGAAAGACGGUAGCUCAACUAUCGCAGUGCCUUUGAUACUGAUGGGCUUGAAUACACUAGAGGUAGGCGGAAUGUGACAAGUAGCGGUGAAAUGCAUAGAUAUGUCACAGAACACCAAUUGCGAAGGCAGCUUACUAUGGUGUCAUUGACACU
rnacentral:rRNA from 1 species